UUUCUGCACACGGAAACAGGUGCCGACCGCGCUACAGGCGUGGUCAGGCUUAAAAGGGAAGCACGGUGUAAGUCCGUCGCGGUCCCGCCACUGUAAACGGGGAGUCUGUACAUAAACAAUCCACUGGUGUAUCCACCGGGAAGGACAUGUACAAGACCAUGAUCCGUAAGCCAGGAGACCUGCCUGUUUCGACAGCAUCGC
rnacentral:ncRNA from 2 species